AUGCCUGAGCAGCUGCAAGAGCUUUGUGGGGAAUCAACUAUGGUGCAGCCGAUGAAGUCAGGCUCAAUGGAGUCCUUGGCCUCACCAUCACUGUUAGAGUCCUGCCAGCCGCUCGCCUUUGUGGACAGUGGAUGCUUGGAUGGUUCUGUCACUCUUUCAUCUAUGCCCAUCGAGCAUGAGGCGUCCUUGAGUGGCGAGGUUAAUGAGAUUGGUGUGUUGGCGCCUAUCUCUGAGGCCCUAUCAUGUGAGCAACUGGAGACGUCUGGGUCCAUCGUGUCGGUUGUAUCUAUGGUUAAUGAUGUUCAGGCAAUUAGUAUGUUGGCGUCUGAUCCUUUGGAGCCUAGCCAGCCGCUAGCCGUUGUGGAGGAUGGAGGUUCUGAUAUCACGGUAAACCAGUCGCACGUGACUGUCAAGCAGGUUUCUGUGCAUGAGAAGGUCGAUGACAUUCUCUUUGGGUUAGAGCUUCAUAGCUUGCUUAAACGUUUGGAGGCGGCUAGCCCUAGAUCUGGCAAGGCGAUUGUGGAGGAGGAUCUUAGGAGCAAAGCAAAGAAGAGUGACCCGCAGAAAAGGCGUCGGCGGCCGCGUAAUGGAUGA
rnacentral:rRNA from 1 species